rnacentral:rRNA from 1 species
GAUGAACGCUAGCGGCAGGCUUAACACAUGCAAGUCGAGGGGCAGCGCGGGAUAGCAAUAUCCUGGCGGCGACCGGCGGAAGGGUGCGUAACGCGUGAGCGACAUGCCCGUUGCCCGGGGACAACCGGUGGAAACGCCGACUAAUCCCCGAUGGGAUAUUGUGCCGCAUGGCACGAUAUUGAAAGUUACGGCGGCGACGGAUUGGCUCGCGUCCGAUUAGCUUGUUGGCGGGGUAACGGCCCACCAAGGCUGCGAUCGGUAGGGGUUCUGAGGGGAAGGCCCCCCACAAUGGGACUGAGACACGGCCCAUACUCCUACGGGAGGCAGCAGUGAGGAAUAUUGGUCAAUGGGCGGAAGCCUGAACCAGCCAUGCCGCGUGCGGGAAGGAGGCCCUAUGGGCUGUGAACCGCUUUUGCCUGGGGGCAAUAAGGGCGUCGCGCACGUCCGAUGAGAGUACCAGGCGAAUAAGCAUCGGCUAACUCCGUG